rnacentral:misc_RNA from 1 species
AACGCACGAGACCUGCGGACCUGCGGAAGGAUCAUUACUGAAGUUACCUUCUAAAACCAUCAUGUGAACCUUACCCCUGCCGCGCUGUUGCCUCGGCGGGACGCCGGAGCCCCGGCUCCGGCGCCGCCGGCAGCGCCAAACUCUACCUUGAAACAGCGGAAACGCACUCUGAUUUAGAAGCGAAAACAAGUCAAAACUUUCAACAACGGAUCUCU